GUGCUUGCUUCAGCAGCACAUGUACUAAAAUUGGAAUGAUACAGAGAAGAUUAGCAUGGCCCCUGCACAAGGAUGACAUGCAAAUUUGUGAAGUGUUUCAUAUUUUU
rnacentral:snRNA from 1 species